rnacentral:ncRNA from 1 species
ACUCAACGAGCACGUUGUUAUGGACUUCGCUCGAGACGUUACGAGCAGGCCACACCUCUUUGAGGGAGUUUACUCCAGUGGAAGGUCAAGGCGUCACGGCUAGUACAGAUCCUGAUAUAUAGGAGUUU